UGUGGAGCCAUUGGAAAGGGUGGAGCCUGCUCAGCUCCAGACACUUCUCAUUGUUAAACAGUGAGGCCAGCGCAGUUGAACAGCCAGCCUCUGGCAGCUGUACCCCAUCUUGUGGAGACUGAGCCUUUGGUGUCCACUGGCGCAUUGGGGCCAAACGCCUUCUCUGUCAGAUCCACGAAGGUGGACCUGCGGGUGCCAGAUCGACCUGCGCUGAUCACCGGUGAGACGCUUCAUCCCCGACUGAAACCAUCCCAUCCGUGAACAAUGACUGAGCGUGUCAGCCACAGUCAGCAAUGGCAUGAUCCAGAUUCAAUACCAGGCCAUGCACGAGAGCAGUGCCAUCGAGCAGCCCAGCAGGUCAACAUUACAAAAAAUCUCAUCUUUCACCCAGCUUUAUAUGUCACCAGGGCACCACACCAAACACUGUUAAACGUUAUAAAGCAAUCAUUUUAAGUAACCUAAGUUGAUGAUCAUGAAUGUGGAAUUUAUUCAGUCGUGUAAUCUUGGGCUGUUCAGCAAGGAUCAGAGCAUUGGCAGACAUAAAAGUCCAAGAGGUCAUAAAGAAAUCUCUAUGAACAAAAAAUAAACGAACAAUAAAAACUCGGUUUUUAGCUACCCACUCACAAAUAAAAGCUUUGAAAACCUCUUGUAAUGAAUGUGUAAUCAGUACAUAUUCUGAAUUUUAAAAAGAAUUUGUAUCAUUAGUUUGGCUAAGAGAAUCAAUAUUUGUCUGGGAUUAAUUCUGCCUGGCUAGCAGUAAAAUCCUGUUCAUACAUACAAGGUCAUAUUGGCUUUCUCAGAAGCUGCAAUAUGUUACCUGCAAU